UAAGCCUGUGAAGGUGGCCUGUGAGGGUUGCUGGAGGUAUCAGAAGUGCGAAUGCUGACAUAAGUAACGAUAAAGCGGGUGAAAAGCCCGCUCGCCGGAAGACCAAGGGUUCCUGUCCAACGUUAAUCGGGGCAGGGUGAGUCGACCCCUAAGGCGAGGCCGAAAGGCGUAGUCGAUGGGAAACGGGUUAAUAUUCCCGUACUUGGUGUUACUGCGAAGGGGGGACGGAGAAGGCUAUGUUGGCCGGGCGACGGUUGUCCCGGUUUAAGCGUGUAGGUGUGUGUUCCAGGUAAAUCCGGUUCACUUUAACACUGAGGCGUGAUGACGAGGCACUACGGUGCUGAAGCAACAAAUGCCCUGCUUCCA
rnacentral:rRNA from 1 species